CGUGCCGCCACGCCGAAUCCGGGCCCGCCCGGAACCGGGGACCCACACGCAGUACCGGGGUGAAUCGGUCCUUCCCCACCGGACCGUAGGGCAGCCUUCCGUUCCGCCCGAACCCGACAGCUAACCCGGUAGGCGGUCCACGGAAGGAGAU
rnacentral:sRNA from 2 species